rnacentral:rRNA from 1 species
AUUGAACGCUGGCGGCAUGCUUUACACAUGCAAGUCGAACGGUAACAGGCCGCAAGGUGCUGACGAGUGGCGAACGGGUGAGUAAUGCAUCGGAACGUGCCCAGUCGUGGGGGAUAACGCAGCGAAAGCUGCGCUAAUACCGCAUACGAUCUAUGGAUGAAAGCGGGGGACCGUAAGGCCUCGCGCGAUUGGAGCGGCCGAUGUCAGAUUAGGUAGUUGGUGGGGUAAAGGCUCACCAAGCCGACGAUCUGUAGCUGGUCUGAGAGGACGACCAGCCACACUGGGACUGAGACACGGCCCAGACUCCUACGGGAGGCAGCAGUGGGGAAUUUUGGACAAUGGGCGCAAGCCUGAUCCAGCAAUGCCGCGUGCAGGAAGAAGGCCUUCGGGUUGUAAACUGCUUUUGUUACGGUAACGAAACGGACGUCUGGUUAAUACCUUGGGCGUAAUGACGGUACCGUAACGAAUAAGCACCGGCUAACUACGUGCCAGCAGCCG